UCCCUCUUAGCUCAGUUGGUAGAGCGCGUCACUAGUAUCCCCUCUAAACCGUAUACUAUGACGAGGUCAGUCGUUCGAGUCGGCUAGAGGGAA